CAUUCUAAAUGUAAACUUUAUAACUAAUUUUGUAUUCAUGAUUUUGUGUUCUUUUUCUUAAACAGGACCCCCAAAUUGUACAAGUUUUAGCCCACACAGAACCUGGAACUUCUCCUGAUUUAUACCCAUUUUGCAGGUCAGACAACAAGGCCUACAGGGAGGCUUGCUCUGUAGGGGAACUGGAGACAAGCCUGGGAGGCCUUCCAGGCCUGGGGGAACUUGGACGGAUCCAGAGGAGGAUGAAAGGUCCGGGCCCAGUCACAGCCCCAACGCAGCCUGGAGACCUUGGGAGCCAAGGCUGAGAAAGGAACAGCUUGUCCGCCUGUCAGAGAUUGCAACAGGAUGGAGAGACGUGGAGGCGAAGAAGUAAAGAAAGUGAGACAAACUACUCUCAAGAACGUGAAAACUAGAUGUUAAAAACACCGCCAAAUGGAAGAAAUCAACUACUUGAUGAUCAUGAUCAUGCAGCCCGCAGACCCGCUGGUGCCUAAGGAUUGAUCACCAUCAAUCAGAGAAUUGUGCACAGCUGAUCACAUACCCUGGGACGCCCCUCCCUCCCUCAGGUUCCUUCAGAAAUGCUCAGCUGAAAACUUGCAGGGAGUUCAGCGUUUUUUGGAUACAAGCUGCUCAUUUCUCCCAAGUCUGGCCAGAGGCAGCCGCUUCCCGGGGUCUCCAGUAGCUGCCAGGACUCACUUCACUCCGGGGAACCAGGAGGGAC